CCAUGGGGUUCUGGGAUGAACUCAGCUGGGCAAACAUGCACAGCAAGAGCCUUUCCCUCGGGAAGCACACAUGUGAGUUUGUAAAUGAUCUCACAUGGGGGGCCACUGUCAAAUGCAGGCAGACUCAAAUUACUGAACACAUUCAUCUACAGGCUAUGAGUAUAACGUGCACACCAAACAGAAAUGACUUUCAUGCUCACACUCGGACCCCAGGACAUCUGGUCUAUACAAACACUCCAGUACAUGAAAAAGCUUAAAACCAGGAACACUUGUGGUAUCAAACACUUCGGGUAAUGAUUAUUACACCUGUGUUUAAUAUCUGGAAACAUUUUCUUUUCCUUUUUUAAUUUUUUUUUGGUUUUCCAAGACAGGGCUUCAAUAGUCCAGGCUGGCCUUAUACCUGCAUCUGCCUCUCCCCUAAAAUUUAAUAAAACUAUCAAUCAAGUUACAAAAACACACUGGUCUGGCCAGGUGGUGGCAGUGGUGCAUGCCUUUAGUCUAAGCACUCACGAGGCAGAGGCAGGAGGAUCUCCAUAAAUUCUAGGCCAGCCUAGACUAUAUAGUGAGUUCCACAACAGCCAGGACCACCCGAAGAAACACUGUCUUGGAAAACCAAGAAACAAACAAACAAAAACAUUGAUCUAAGGGUUAUGAUAAUGAAGUGAGAGGUCAAAUUCUCACUUAAAAUUUUGUACUGGUCUGGGUACACCCUACAAUCCCAGCACUUAGGAGGCUGAGGCAGCAGUGUCUUGAGCCUGAAGCUGGAGUGAUCCACACAGCAAAGCAGGGAAAGAGACAGUACAAAGACAUCUGCAAGGUCCACUGACACAGGCCAGUAACUCCAGAUACUUGGAAGGCUGAAGCAGGAAGACUGAGAUAUGAAAUGC
ensembl:antisense Gm37768 predicted gene, 37768